AGUGAACGCUGGCGGUAGGCCUAACACAUGCAAGUCGAACGGCAGCACAGGAGAGCUUGCUCUCUGGGUGGCGAGUGGCGGACGGGUGAGGAGUACAUCGGAAUCUACUCUGUCGUGGGGGAUAACGUAGGGAAACUUACGCUAAUACCGCAUACGACCUACGGGUGAAAGCAGGGGAUCUUCGGACCUUGUGCGAUUGAAUGAGCCGAUGUCGGAUUAGCUAGUUGGCGGGGUAAAGGCCCACCAAGGCGACGAUCCGUAGCUGGUCUGAGAGGAUGAGCAGCAACACUGGAACUGAGACACGGUCCAGACUCCUACGGGAGGCAGCAGUGGGGAAUAUUGGACAAUGGGCGCAAGCCUGAUCCAGCCAUACCGCGUGGGUGAAGAAGGCCUUCGGGUUGUAAAGCCCUUUUGUUGGGAAAGAAAUCCAGCUGGCUAAUACCCGGUUGGGAUGACGGUACCCAAAGAAUAAGCACCGGCUAACUUCGUGCCAGCCGCCGCCGUAA
rnacentral:rRNA from 1 species